UACGGAGGAUGCAAGCGUUAUCCGGAUUUAUUGGGUUUAAAGGGUGCGCAGGUGGUUUAAUAAGUCAGUGGUGAAAGUCUGCCGCUUAACGGUAGGAUUGCCAUUGAUACUGUUGGACUUGAAUAUGGAUGAGGUAGGCGGAAUGUGUAGUGUAGCGGUGAAAUGCUUAGAUAUUACACAGAACACCGAUUGCGAAGGCAGCUUACUAAUCCAUGAUUGACGCUGAGGCACGAAAGCUGGGGGAGCAAACCGG
rnacentral:rRNA from 1 species